rnacentral:rRNA from 1 species
GGGUUGUGAGGUUAAGCGAACAAGCGUACACGGUGGAUGCCCUGGCAGUCAGAGGCGAUGAAGGACGUGCUAAUCUGCGAAAAGCGCCGGUAAGGUGAUAUGAACCGUUAUAACCGGCGAUGUCCGAAUGGGGAAACCCGGUGCACUUCGGUGCAUCAUCGUUAGCUGAAUACAUAGGCUAACGAAGCGAACCGGGGGAACUGAAACAUCUAAGUACCCCGAGGAAAAGAAAUCAACCGAGAUUCCCCCAGUAGCGGCGAGCGAACGGGGAACAGCCCAGAGCCUGAAUCAGCUUGUGUGUCAGUGGAACGGUCUGGAAAGGCCGGCGAUACAGGGUGACAGCCCCGUACACGAAGGCACACAGGCUGUGAGCUCGAUGAGUAGGGCGGGACACGUGAUAUCCUGUCUGAAGAUGGGGGGACCAUCCUCCAAGGCUAAAUACUCCUGACUGACCGAUAGUGAACCAGUACCGUGAGGGAAAGGCGAAAAGAACCCCGGCGAGGGGAGUGAAACAGAACCUGAAACCGUGUACGUACAAGCAGUGGGAGCCUUCGUAAGAGGGUGACUGCGUACCUUUUGUAUAAUGGGUCAGCGACUUAUAUUCUGUAGCAAGGUUAACCGUAUAGGGGAGCCGAAGGGAAACCGAGUCUUAAUUGGGCGUUAAGUUGCAGGGUAUAGACCCGAAACCCGGUGAUCUAGCCAUGGGCAGGUUGAAGGUUGGGUAACACUAACUGGAGGACCGAACCGACUAAUGUUGAAAAAUUAGCGGAUGACCUGUGGCUGGGGGUGAAAGGCCAAUCAAACCGGGAGAUAGCUGGUUCUCCCCGAAAGCUAUUUAGGUAGCGCCUCGUGAACUCAUCUCCGGGGGUAGAGCACUGUUUCGGCUAGGGGGCCAUCCCGGCUUACCAACCCGAUGCAAACUGCGAAUACCGGAGAAUGUUAUCACGGGAGACACACGGCGGGUGCUAACGUCCGUCGUGAAGAGGGAAACAACCCAGACCGCCAGCUAAGGUCCCAAAGUCAUGGUUAAGUGGGAAACGAUGUGGGAAGGCCCAGACAGCCAGGAUGUUGGCUUAGAAGCAGCCAUCAUUUAAAGAAAGCGUAAUAGCUCACUGGUCGAGUCGGCCUGCGCGGAAGAUGUAACGGGGCUAAACCAUGCACCGAAGCUGCGGCAGCGACGCUUAUGCGUUGUUGGGUAGGGGAGCGUUCUGUAAGCCUGCGAAGGUGUGCUGUGAGGCAUGCUGGAGGUAUCAGAAGUGCGAAUGCUGACAUAAGUAACGAUAAAGCGGGUGAAAAGCCCGCUCGCCGGAAGACCAAGGGUUCCUGUCCAACGUUAAUCGGGGCAGGGUGAGUCGACCCCUAAGGCGAGGCCGAAAGGCGUAGUCGAUGGGAAACAGGUUAAUAUUCCUGUACUUGGUGUUACUGCGAAGGGGGACGGAGAAGGCUAUGUCGGCCGGGCGACGGUUGUCCCGGUUUAAGCGUGUAGGCUGACUUUCCAGGCAAAUCCGGAAAGUUAAGGCUGAGGCGUGAUGACGAGGCACCACGGUGCUGAAGUGACAAAUGCCCUGCUUCCAGGAAAAGCCUCUAAGCAUCAGGUAACAUCAAAUCGUACCCCAAACCGACACAGGUGGUCAGGUAGAGAAUACCAAGGCGCUUGAGAGAACUCGGGUGAAGGAACUAGGCAAAAUGGUGCCGUAACUUCGGGAGAAGGCACGCUGACAUGUAGGUGAAGCCCCUGCGGGUGGAGCUGAAGUCAGUCGAAGAUACCAGCUGGCUGCAACUGUUUAUUAAAAACACAGCACUGUGCAAACACGAAAGUGGACGUAUACGGUGUGACGCCUGCCCGGUGCCGGAAGGUUAAUUGAUGGGGUUAUCGCAAGAGAAGCUCCUGAUCGAAGCCCCGGUAAACGGCGGCCGUAACUAUAACGGUCCUAAGGUAGCGAAAUUCCUUGUCGGGUAAGUUCCGACCUGCACGAAUGGCGUAAUGAUGGCCAGGCUGUCUCCACCCGAGACUCAGUGAAAUUGAACUCGCUGUGAAGAUGCAGUGUACCCGCGGCAAGACGGAAAGACCCCGUGAACCUUUACUACAGCUUGACACUGAACAUUGAGCCUUGAUGUGUAGGAUAGGUGGGAGGCUUUGAAGCGUGGACGCCAGUCUGCGUGGAGCCAACCUUGAAAUACCACCCUUUAAUGUUUGAUGUUCUAACCUGGCGCCGUGAUCCGGCGUGGGGACAGUGUCUGGUGGGUAGUUUGACUGGGGCGGUCUCCUCCCAAAGUGUAACGGAGGAGCACGAAGGUCAGCUAAUCCUGGUCGGACAUCAGGAGGUUAGUGCAAUGGCAUAAGCUGGCUUGACUGCGAGAGUGACGGCUCGAGCAGGUGCGAAAGCAGGUCAUAGUGAUCCGGUGGUUCUGUAUGGAAGGGCCAUCGCUCAACGGAUAAAAGGUACUCCGGGGAUAACAGGCUGAUACCGCCCAAGAGUUCAUAUCGACGGCGGUGUUUGGCACCUCGAUGUCGGCUCAUCACAUCCUGGGGCUGAAGUAGGUCCCAAGGGUAUGGCUGUUCGCCAUUUAAAGUGGUACGCGAGCUGGGUUUAGAACGUCGUGAGACAGUUCGGUCCCUAUCUGCCGUGGGCGCUGGAGAAUUGAGGGGGGCUGCUCCCAGUACGAGAGGACCGGAGUGGACGCAUCACUGGUGUUCGGGUUGUCAUGCCAAUGGCACUGCCCGGUAGCUAAAUGCGGAAGAGAUAAGUGCUGAAAGCAUCUAAGCACGAAACUUGCCCCGAGAUGAGUUCUCCCUGAGACUAUAAGUCUCCUGAAGGAACGUUGAAGACGACGACGUUGAUAGGCCGGGUGUGUAAGCGCAGCGAUGCGUUGAGCUAACCGGUACUAAUGAACCGUGAGGCUUAACCUUACAACGCCAAAGAAGU